GAUGCAAUUUUCAGAUAAAAUAGGCCUAUUCUAAUGGUAAUGUAAAAGUUACACUUAUACUUUCUGUCACUGCUCAUACCUGUAAAUCCCAUGGGGGGAAAGUCAUGAUUUCCUUUAGACAUAACAGUCGUAGCCCACAAAUAAGCCGCCAUGAAAUAGUCAAGCAACAGGCCUCCAGUAGCUGCAGCUGGAGAAAACACUGGAUAAGGUGAUCCAAUUUCUGCACAAGAUCUAGUCUCUCCUCCAUAGUAGCGUUUAGCCUGGAAGUCAGUCAUUCUCAUACUGUCAAAAGCCAGGGUCCCAGAAAAGGGAAUCUUUACAGAAGCAAAUAUUUUAUGGAGGACUUGAGAGAGUGUCUCUCAAUGUUUAAGUAUCUAUUCCAUAGCAAAUUAGGAACAACAAUAGCUAGAGUUAUAAAUACAAUUCAUUAUGUGUAUUUUGAAAUUGAAUUUUGAGCGAUUAGCAUAAAAAUACUGAAUAUGCAUUGCAAAUUAGCAUGCCAACCUUGCUAAAUGAAAUAACAGCCCUGACACGUACUUAAGUAGAAAGUGGAACUACACAAAAAUGGAGGAAUAUCAGUAGAUAACAUGUAAACCAGGACGAUGAAAAAAGAGGACACAAGUAAGAUCACUGCGGGUAUAUUAUUCUUAGCUACAUAUAGCUAACUGAGUCACCAUUUUCUAAGGAGGAAAAAUUAGAAGGAGUGCUGAAAGGGAAUAACUCCAGACUGUUAAUUACUUACAGUGAAUAUAUGUUUGCAUAUAUUUGCUUAAAGUAGCUGUUAAGGAAGCUCUAUUUAAUUUAUUUGUCAGUGUGGGCUGAGUCAUCAACAACUAUACUUUUCACUUUUUUCAUAGAAUCCAAGACAAGAAGAAUCUUUCAAGUGUUGCUAACCAGAACUGAGCAGAUCCAAGUAGCAAUCGUAGCCAAGCCAUUAGUCCAUGUAUGGAGAGACCAGAGAGGGCAUCCCCACGUGGUGAUGCCUCAAGCUUCAGGAGCACUCGACCAGAGUCAGUGUAGCCCUUGGCAGCUGGUGAAGCACAACCUGGGACAAAUGGAAGCUUUAGCAAUGAGCCGAUAGGUCAAGGCUAACCAGAAAGAAUGCAGCUGGGUAAUGCAAGCUAUCCUAUCUUGUAAUUAAAAGGGUUUUCUGUGUGGUUACCUGACGUAGUUACUAAAUGGCUUGCAUGAAAUAACAUGCAGCAUUCUGCAGUUACUGUGCAAUUACCUUAUAUCAUCACCCUACAGUCAAAAGACAAAAAGAAAAUUCAGGGUGAAGCUUUUAACCGCAAUUUGUAGCAAAGAUGUUUGGAAUAAAAACACAUUGCUUG
rnacentral:lncRNA from 1 species